UCAAGCAGAAAGGGCACAGGGCGGAUGCCUUGGCACUAAGGGCCGAAGAAAGACGUGAUAAGCUGCGAUAAGCUUCGGGGAGGAGCAAAUAUCCAUUGAUCCGGAGAUUUCUGAAUGGGGAAACCCACACGAGGAAACCUCGUGUAUCCAUACGCCAAUCCAUAACGUAUGGAGGGGAACCCGGGGAACUGAAACAUCUAAGUACCCGGAGGAAAAGAAAGAAAACUCGAUUCCGUAAGUAGCGGCGAGCGAACGCGGAAGAGCCUAAACCAGAUCGCGUGCGAUCUGGGGUUACGGACUGCAUUUAAGAUUCUGUGAUGUUAGUAGAACGGUUUUGGGAAAGCCGGCCAGAGAGGGUGAAAGCCCCGUACACGAAAACAGAGCAGACUGAGCAGGAUCCAGAGUACCGCGGGACACGAGAAACCCUGCGGGAAGUAAGGGGGACCACCCCCUAAGGCUAAAUACCACUUAGUGACCGAUAGCGCAUAGUACUGUGAAGGAAAGGUGAAAAGGACCCCGGGAGGGGAGUGAAAGAGAACCUGAAACCCUGUGUCUACAAGCUGUGGGAGUGCUUUAUAUGCACGACCGCGUACUUUUUGUAGAACGGUCCGGCGAGUUGCGCUCACUGGCAAGGUUAAGAUCUUAAGGAUCGGAGCCGUAGGGAAACCAAGUCUUAACAGGGCCAGAGUCAGUGGGGGCAGACCCGAAACCGGGUGAUCUAUCCAUGUCCAGGUUGAAGCUGCCGUAAGAGGCAGUGGAGGACCGAACCCACAUCCGUUGAAAAGGGUGGGGAUGAGGUGUGGAUAGGGGAGAAAUUCCAAUCGAACCCGGAGAUAGCUGGUUCUCCUCGAAAUAGCUUUAGGGCUAGCCUUGGUAGAGAUUUGCGGAGGUAGAGCACUGAAUUUCCUAGGGGGCGUCAAAGCCUACCGAAGAAUAUCAAACUCCGAAUGCCGUGUAAUUACUUACCAGGAGUCAGACUACACGAGAUAAGUUGGGUGGUCAAAAGGGAAAGAGCCCAGACCUUCAGUUAAGGUCCCAAAGUGUGCGUUAAGUGGAAAAGGAUGUGGGAUUUCGAAGACAACCAGGAUGUUGGCUCAGAAGCAGCCAUUCAUUCAAAGAGUGCGUAAUAGCUCACUGGUCGAGAGGUCCUGCGCCGAAAAUGUCCGGGGCUGAAACGCACCACCGAAACUAAGGAAUCUAGUAAUAGAUUGGUAGAGGAGCAUUGCAUGCGGGAUGAAGCAGUACCGUAAGGAGCUGUGGACUGCAUGGAAGAGAGAAUGCCGGAAUGAGUAGCGAGAUAGAGGUGAGAAUCCUCUAGGCCGAAUAUCCAAGGUUUCCAGGGUAAAGCUGAUCUGCCCUGGGUAAGUCGGGGCCUAAGGUGAGGACGAGAGUCGUAGCCGAUGGACAACAGGUGGAGAUUCCUGUACUAUGAUAUGACAGAACUGUGGGGACACGUGCAGAGAGCGGAAGCCGGGAAUGGAAUCCCGGUGCAAGCGGGGUACCAGUCGCAUUGGAAAAACCGUGCGGCAAUGGGAAGACGUGAUGCGGAGUGAAAUAUAGUAACGAAGUCCGUGAGCUGUGCGUCAAGAAAAGCCGCUAUUGUUCAUACCAUACCCGUACCGUAAACCGACACAGGUGGAUGAGGAGAGAAUCCUAAGGCCGGCGGAAGAAGCAUUGUCAAGGAACUCGGCAAAAUGACCCCGUAACUUCGGGAGAAGGGGUGCCACUGAGAAGUGGCCGCAGAGAAUAGGCUCAAGCAACUGUUUAGCAAAAACACAGGUCUAUGCGAAACCGUAAGGUGAGGUAUAUGGGCUGACGCCUGCCCGGUGCUGGAAGGUUAAGAGGAGAGGUUAGCGCAAGCGAAGCUUUGAAUUUAAGCCCCAGUAAACGGCGGCCGUAACUAUAACGGUCCUAAGGUAGCGAAAUUCCUUGUCGGGUAAGUUCCGACCCGCACGAAAGGCGUAAUGAUUUGAGCACUGUCUCG
rnacentral:rRNA from 1 species